rnacentral:rRNA from 1 species
GACGAACGCUGGCGGCGUGCUUAACACAUGCAAGUCGAACGGAAAGGCCCUGCUUUUGUGGGGUGCUCGAGUGGCGAACGGGUGAGUAACACGUGAGUAACCUGCCCUUGACUUUGGGAUAACUUCAGGAAACUGGGGCUAAUACCGGAUAGGAGCUCCUGCUGCAUGGUGGGGGUUGGAAAGUUUCGGCGGUUGGGGAUGGACUCGCGGCUUAUCAGCUUGUUGGUGGGGUAGUGGCUUACCAAGGCUUUGACGGGUAGCCGGCCUGAGAGGGUGACCGGCCACAUUGGGACUGAGAUACGGCCCGGACGCCUACGGGAGGCAGCAGGGGGGAAUAUUGCACAAGGGGCGGAGGCCGGAUGCAGCAACGCCGCGUGCGGGACGACGGCCUUCGGGUAGUAAACCGCUUUCGCCUGUGACGAAGCGUGAGGGACGGGAAUGGGGAAAGAAGCACCGGCGAACUACGG